GCCCAGCCGUAAACUUUUAAUUACACCUAAAUCGCCAGGGAACUACGAGCUAAGCUUAAAACCCAAAGGACUUGACGGUACCCCAUAUCCCCCUAGAGGAGCCUGUCCUAUAAUCGAUAAUCCACGUUUAACCUCACCAUUUCUAGUUAAUCAGCCUGUAUACCUCCGUCGUCAGCUUACCACGUGAGCGCUAAUUAGUGAGCCCAAUGUUAUUUCACCAACACGUCAGGUCAAGGUGCAGCAAAUGAAAUGGAAAGAGAUGGGCUACACUUUCUAUAUUAGAAGAGACGAAAAACUAUUUAUGAAAUCUAGUUAGAAGGCGGAUUUAGCAGUAAAAAGGAAUCAGAAUGUCCAUUUUAACCCGGCACUGGGGUGUGUACACACCGCCCGUCACCCUCUUCAAGGCUUCUAACCUAGUUCUUAACAAACUAAAAUACAACAGAAGAGGCAAGUCGUAACAUGGUAAGUAUACCGGAAGGUGUGCUUGGAAA
rnacentral:rRNA from 1 species